AAGUCGUAACAAGGUUUCCGUAGGUGAACCUGCGGAAGGAUCAUUACCGAGUUAGGGUCUUCUAGGCCCGACCUCCCAACCCUGUGUCUAUCUAACCUUUUGUUGCUUCGGCGAGCCCGUCCCCUGGGGACCGCCGGAGGACCCCUAAAGUCCUCUGGCCCGCGCCCGCCGAUGGCCCAAAACCACAAACUCUUUGAACUAAACAUGAAUUGUCUAAGUACCACAUUUAAUAAAACAAAACUUUCAACAACGGAUCUCUUGGUUCUG
rnacentral:misc_RNA from 1 species